ACUUCAGUCUACAGAGCAAUGUUCCAUUGGAUCCUAUUACUGAGCCAUCUCCUUCAUCCCCCUUUCCGCCCCCUCCUCUAGGUUUCCGAGAGGGAGCAGCAGGGGCGUGGCGCCCGUUUCCCCGCCCGACAGCCCCCCGACCCCGGGCCCCAUUACAGCGCGUGGGCGGCGAUCCAGCAGGAGGAGGCGCAGAUCCACAGGCCGAAGGAGAUGCAGACGCGGUGGCGGGCGAAGCAGCGGUCCAGGAGUCGCUGGUGUUGAUGCUGAAAAGUUACAGGAUCUCUUCCAGGAGGAGGAUGGCAGUACAGCAGCUUACCCUACAAAGACAACAUGAAUGACAACAGUGCAUCCUAACUGCCAUCUGUGGCCUCAGAGGAGACAGCUCCACCCAGUCACACUCUGAUGGAGCUUUCUGCCUUCUGGUUAAGUUAGCUGAGUUGAGUUUUGGUCCACUGCAGCUGAAGAGUCCUUUUUCUAAUACAUCAAUGGUCAAAAUGUUCUAGAGACCUAGCUCUUCCCAUGGCGCCCCAGACUAGGAUGAAAUCUCUUUCUUCUUUUCUCGUUUGCAUUGCAUUCUCACUCAAGUAUUCUUCAGUAUACGGACAUGAUCAUACUUAUGGUAAAUAUUUUCCAAAACAAAACUCAAGACACAACUGGACAGUUACGGUAAUGCCGGGGUAGACUGUUAAAGUCAGGAGAGUUCCUUGACUCCUGUAUGUGGGGUUGCAGACAGUUACGGUAAUGCCGGGGUAGACUAUUAAAGUCAGGAGAGUUCCUCAACUCCUGUAUGUGGGGUUGCAGUUGCUCACUGGGUGCAAGUCUGCCUCUUUCCAUCAUAAAUGAUCUGAAGGCUGUGACUAUUUUUACCUCAUUUUUACAUCCUCCACAGUAAGUGGUAAUGAAUACAUGACUUAUCCAUACCAACAGCAUGAACUGCUUUCUUCCUGAACUGAAGGCAAGCCCAUACGGUUGCCACUAAGCUCCAAGAGCUCCACUGAUGCGGUCUUGAGAAGAGGAGGAAAUAAAGCCAAAUCCUCACAACUGGUUA
rnacentral:antisense_RNA from 1 species